GACGUAGGGGCGAGCGUUGUCCGGAUUAUUGGGCGUAAAGAGCUCGUAGGCGGCUCAGAAAGUCGGGUGUGAAACCUCCAGGCUCAACCUGGAGACGCCACCUGAUACUGCUGUGGCUAGAGUCCGGUAGGGGAACACGGAAUUCCCGGUGGUAGCGGUGAAAUGCUUAGAUAUCGGGAGGAACACCAGUGGCGAAGGCGGUGUUCUGGGCCGGAACUGACGCUGAGGAGCGAAAGCGUGGGUAGCAAACAGG
rnacentral:rRNA from 1 species